rnacentral:rRNA from 1 species
AAUAGAUACCCUGGUAGUCCACGCCGUAAACGAUGAGUGCUAGGUGUCGGGGGUUUCGAUACCCACGGUGCCGAAGUUAACACAUUAAGCACUCCGCCUGGGGAGUACGGUCGCAAGACUGAAACUCAAAGGAAUUGACGGGGACCCGCACAAGCAGUGGAGUAUGUGGUUUAAUUCGAAGCAACGCGAAGAACCUUACCAGGUCUUGACAUCCCCCUGACCGGUCUAGAGAUAGGCCUUCCCUUCGGGGCAGGGGAGACAGGUGGUGCAUGGUUGUCGUCAGCUCGUGUCGUGAGAUGUUGGGUUAAGUCCCGCAACGAGCGCAACCCUUGAUCUUAGUUGCCAGCACUUUGGGUGGGCACUCUAAGAUGACUGCCGGUGACAAACCGGAGGAAGGCGGGGAUGACGUCAAAUCAUCAUGCCCCUUAUGACCUGGGCUACACACGUACUACAAUGGCCGGUACAAAGGGCUGCGAAGCCGCGAGGCGGAGCCAAUCCCAGCAAAGCCGGUCUCAGUUCGGAUUGCAGGCUGCAACUCG